rnacentral:rRNA from 1 species
GAUGAACGCUGGCGGCGUGCUUAAGACAUGCAAGUCGAACGGAGUGUGUAGCAAUACUCACUAAGUGGCGAAUGGGUGAGUAACACGUAGGUGACCUGCCCUGAAGUGCGGAAUAACAGUCCGAAAGGAUUGCUAAUACCGCAUGUGGUCCCGGGCGUUAGAGAACCGGGUCUAAAGCAGUAAUGCGCUUCAGGAGGGGCCUGCGGUCCAUCAGCUAGUUGGUAGGGAAUGGCCUACCAAGGCAACGACGGAUAGGGGACCUGAGAGGGU